UGUCAUUAAGUGGGAUUCAAACCCACACCUACAAGAUUAGACUGUGACCUGAACGCAGUCCCUUAGACCACUCAGCCAUCCUGAC